AUUGAACGCUGGCGGAAUGCUUUACACAUGCAAGUCGAACGGCAGCACGGGGGCAGCCCUGGUGGCGAGUGGCGAACGGGUGAGUAAUACAUCGGAACGUGCCCGGUCGUGGGGGAUAACGUAGCGAAAGUUACGCUAAUACCGCAUACGAUCUGAGGAUGAAAGCGGGGGACCUUCGGGCCUCGCGCGAUCGGAGCGGCCGAUGUCAGAUUAGGUAGUUGGUGGGGUAAAGGCCUACCAAGCCGACGAUCUGUAGCUGGUCUGAGAGGACGACCAGCCACACUGGGACUGAGACACGGCCCAGACUCCUACGGGAGGCAGCAGUGGGGAAUUUUGGACAGUGGGCGCAAGCCUGAUCCAGCCAUUCCGCGUGCAGGACGAAGGCCUUCGGGUUGUAAACUGCUUUUGUACGGAACGAAAAGGCUCUGGCUAAUACCUGGGGCUCAUGACGGUACCGUAAGAAUAAGCACCGGCUAACUACGUG
rnacentral:rRNA from 1 species